rnacentral:tRNA from 1 species
AAUAAGACUUGUGCUACUCACAGCACAUCUCCUGAAUGCAACU